AUAAAGAACUACUGGCAUUCCCAUUUGAAGAAAAAGGUGCUCAAAGCUGAUCAAGCAAUGGAUGAAGCGAACACAAGCUCAGAUAAUUUGGAACCAAAUUCUCCCAAUAAACUCACAAUAACGCAAACUCCAAAUUAUGAAUCAUUGUUGAUGAACGUGGAAAAAUCACCAACCGAUACAGAUCGGUUGGUUCCACAGUUGUCUGAAUCUCCUAAACAGCCUAACAGAAGCUCCUUGCCUAAGCUUAUGUUCGCCGAGUGGCUUUCGCUUGACAGCUUUUCAAGCUUAAGUGAGGCAAUAAUGGCUUCCAAGGAUCAAAACAAUUCCAGCUUCAUGGAUAAUUUCAUGCAAGGUUGUUUUUUGAAUGAGGGAACAUUAUUUGGUAAUAGUGAGUAUCGCAAUUCCCCAUUGAACGAUGCCUCCCCUGAAGACAUGUUCAGUCCACAGUUUAAAUUCGAAUGCCAUAGUUCAGGAAAUGAUCAGUUUGUUGAUUUUAGCUCUGGAGAGGAUAUUUGUAGUGAAUUCAACAUGAAGAACGAUUUGAGGUAUAUAUAUGAGUAUUGAGCACUGAGCAGGGGGACAGGUUUUCAGAUAACUUCAAGGAAG
rnacentral:misc_RNA from 1 species